CACCUUUCAUUGGGCCGUGUACUGCCUCCCCUGACUGGACCGUCGCCUGAUCACCGCACUUUCAAAUGUAGUUGCGGAGACACGAACGAGGCGUCAUUAUUGAAGAGUUCGAUGAAAUGGUACCUACGAGGGUACGAUCCCUCUCUUUAUGCGAAACGAAAACCUGAUCUCUAUAUUGGGAGGGAGAUUAUGAUCUCUAUAUUGGGAGGAGAGAUUCUCGUUCUCUCAUUUAGUUUGCAAUUUGCGAUUGAUAUUUAAGAGUUGAUUCAAUCGGAGAUUUGUCUGUGAUCAAUCCCGUCAAUUUUUGUUUUUGGGCGUAGAUCCUUGGUUUUUCUUUUCUCUGGAAAUUAUUCGAUCGGAAAUUGUGUUCUUGAACAGAGAUCGAUAAUUUUGGGGGAGGGGCGCAGAGGGAGAAACCCUAAUUCCACAUCUCUCUGGAACCGGAAAUUUGAUGCGUAUUGUAUCGAUUGAGUAAAAGAAAUCUGUUUUUUUGUUUUGUUUUGGUUUUGUGUUCCUUUUUCGGGGAGUCGAAUAACCGCUGCAUGAACAAAUUAAGGGGAGAGGAAGCGAAUAGAUCGCUUAGAGAGUAGAAGCGAGCAGAGCAGAGGAAGGCGAAACAUGUCUGCCAUAGUGUGUGGGAAGAGAUCCUUAUUCGAAGACCUGCCGGCACCUCCCGUCACCAAGAGAAUUCGCUGUUCUUCUUCCCCCGUACGGUUCUCUCCUCCCAGGCCCUUCCCAGCCUCUUCUUCUUCUCAGUCUCCUCUUCCUUACUCGUCCCCGCCUUCUUCCGCUCUCCUGCUCGAGCAUCUGAGAUUUAUUUUCCCUGACAUGGACAAACAGGUUCUUGAGAGAGCACUUGAAGAAUGUGGUGAUGAUUUAGAUUCAGCCAUCAAAUGUCUGAAUGAGCUUCAGCUAGGAUCUGCUGAUAAAAGCAUGGACUCUGUUGCAGGAAAAUCUGGUGUAGCACUGGAAGAAAAUUUACAAGUUCAAUCACAUGUGGGUACCGUAACAAAUAAUGAAGAGGAUGUCUCUGCUGAGGAUCCGUCGGCUCCAAAGAAUCUCCCUGUUGAUGGUGCAGAUUGGGUGGAGCUCUUUGUCAGAGAAAUGAUGAGUGCCUCAAACAUGGAUGAUGCUAGAGCCCGUGCCUCAAGAGCGCUUGAGGUUUUGGAGAAGUCCAUAUAUUCACGUGCAGGUGCAGAUGCGGCUCAUUGCUUUAACCAGGAAAAUAUGAUGCUGAAGGAACAAAUGAAAGCUCUGAUUCAGGAAAACACAAUCCUCAAGCGAGCUGUUUCUAUUCAACAUGAACGGCAAAAAGAGUAUGAUGAGAAGAGCCAGGAGUUGCAGCAUUUGAAGCAGCUGGUGUCUCAGUGCCAGGAUCAGUUGAGAACUCUAGAGGUGAAUAAUUAUGCACUGACAAUGCAUCUCAAGCAGGCUCACCAAAGCAGCUCCAUACCAGGGCGUUUCCAUCCCGAUGUCUUUUAAGGAGCCUUAGAUGGGAUCUUAAAUUUUGGCACCUCCGGAAGAUGGGUCAUAAGCAAUUGCAAUUCAAACCUCGUUUCUUAUCAAAACACCAACAGGUUUAACUCCAACCACAACCACCAGCCACCACCGUCCACCAUCACCCACAACCGGCUGCCACCGCCUCCCUCCAUCUUCUCCAAUAAUUUCAAUUUGCCCUCGGUGUACCCUCAAAUGCGUAAGGUUGAGCACUAAUGUUCGGUACUAGGCCUUCUCUAGAUGUCCUUUAAUCUCUUUCUCUUGUUGGCCCAUAUUUGCCAUUUCUACAAGACAUUCUAGUAUCUUGAAUGUGGGCCCAUUUGUCCAUUUAAUUUUAAUCUAAGAAAAUGAAAAAUAAUCGAAGAAUAUAGAAAUAAAAAUGCAGUAAAUAGAAAUAUUUAUUAUUAAGAUUCAAAA